CCACACAGUCCUUCAUUUCCAUUUCUCCGAUCAUUUCAAAACCCUAGUUCAAGAAAGCAAUCGAUAAUAUUAAUACGAUUUCUUUAGAUGAGCAGUUACUGUUUAGGUUCUGGUUCUACUUUGAAUUGAUUUACUGUUAAUUUAGGGUUUUAGUAGGGAUUGAUUGUUUUCUUUGGAUUUAAUUUAAUGAUUUCAUGUUGUCAAACCUACUUUUUGGAGUCUAGUUCUAGUUUCAUGUUACCAAAG